rnacentral:rRNA from 1 species
AUUGAACGCUGGCGGCAGGCCUAACACAUGCAAGUCGAGCGGAUGAAGGGAGCUUGCUCCUGGAUUCAGCGGCGGACGGGUGAGUAAUGCCUAGGAAUCUGCCUGGUAGUGGGGUAUAACGUCCGGAAACGGGCGCUAAUACCGCAUACGUCCUGAGGGAGAAAGUGGGGGAUCUUCGGACCUCACGCUCUCAGAUGAGCCUAGGUCGGAUUAGCUAGUUGGUGGGGUAAAGGCCUACCAAGGCGACGAUCCGUAACUGGUCUGAGAGGAUGAUCAGUCACACUGGAACUGAGACACGGUCCAGACUCCUACGGGAGGCAGCAGUGGGGAAUAUUGGACAAUGGGCGCAAGCCUGAUCCAGCCAUGCCGCGUGUGUGAAGAAGGUCUUCGGAUUGUAAAGCACUUUAAGUUGGGAGGAAGGGCAGUAAGUUAAUACCUUGCUGUUUUGACGUUACCAACAGAAUAAGCACCGGCUAACUUCGUG